GACGAACGCUGGCGGCGUGCUUAACACAUGCAAGUCGAACGGAAAGGCCCUGCUUUUGUGGGGUGCUCGAGUGGCGAACGGGUGAGUAACACGUGAGUAACCUGCCCUUGACUUUGGGAUAACUUCAGGAAACUGGGGCUAAUACAGGAUAGGAGCUCCUGCUGCAUGGUGGGGGUUGGAAAGUUUCGGCGGUUGGGGAUGGACUCGCGGCUUAUCAGCUAGUUGGUGGGGUAGUGGCUUACCCAGGAUUUGACGGGUAGCCGGCCUGUGAGGGUGACCGGCCACAUUGGGACUGAGAUACGGCCCAGACUCCUACGGGAGGCAGCAGUGGGGAAUAUUGCACAAUGGGCGGAAGCCUGAUGCAGCAACGCCGCGUGCGGGAUGACGGCCUUCGGGUUGUAAACCGCUUUCGCCUGUGACGAAGCGUGAGUGACGGUAAUGGGUAAAGAAGCACCGGCUAACUACGUG
rnacentral:rRNA from 1 species